UGUCAUGUUCCACUUUCCUAUCCUUUGUCUCUAAAUCGUUCAGUUCAGACUCACGUGACCCCAUCAGAGGAGUGCCAUGGAGAAUCAUGGACAGGUUAUCUGGCCUCCAGCUGCCCGUGAGCUGAUGAAGCAAAGACCUGCCUGUCAAACUGGGCCAUGUGGUAAAUCAAUAAGCGAAGACUCAAAAAGAUGUCCAAACAAAUCCAUCCAAUCUGGAAUAUUCUGAGUGUGAAACGGAAGUUUUGGGUACUUAGGACGAGGACCCCCAUAGGACAGGUUGGCCUCUAAUUGGCUUUGUAGCUGAGGAUGGCCUUGAACUUCCAAUCCAAGCCCCCAGCAUCCAAGUGCUGGGAUUUUGUGCAUAUGCUAUCACACCUGGUCUGUAUGGCAUCCAGGUCUCCCAUGAAGCCAUCUAGCUAUGGUCUCACCUGAAGACUCUUCGAGAGGAGAAGAUUUGCUUUCAAGCUGACUUCAAAGCCUCCGUUUCUGACAGACACACAGACUGAAUUCUACAGUGUUUGGCUUCAGCUGUCAGUUGGAGCUCUCUUCCACAGCUCACCACAUGAGUCUUCUCUGGGCUGAUUUACCACAAAGCAGCUGUCUUUCUACAGAGCUGGCCAGCCUGCACCCUAGAGAGUACCUGCAGUCUUUGUACAAUGGUAAGAAGAGAAAACCCAUUACUUCUGCUCUGCCUCUUCACUUCAGUGGUAAAGUGGUGGCCUAGGAUGUGUUACAAGGCCCCUAGUUCCAUCCUCAGCACCAAAACAAUAGCAUAAAAGCAAACACUUUACCCUGCUCAGUGCAUCUCUCACCUCAAAGCAGGUAGCCAUCAAAAUGCACUCCAGGCAGUCACCUUUCACACGGUGACCUCCUCCCUGGCAUCACCCAGGACUGUCUGCGAAAUGCAGAAUUCAGGACUCUGAGUUUGCACUGUGACAAGAUCCCAGGCCAGGCCAGUCUGAGAUUCUAAAGGAGAAGAGACCUCACUGGUCCCUCUGAUUAUUGUGGCUGAUACUUCCCCUUCCUUAUCUCCCCUCAGGCCAUGUUAACUUCACUAAUAUUACAAAGACUAUAGAAAGCAAUGAACUCUGUGGCCGGAAGGGAGUUGUCCUUAACAGAGGCUGGAGUGACUUUCUCAUCAAGUCAGUCCUUGCCAAGUAAGUGUCUUUCAGGCGUGAUGUCAGAGGUGGAGAAGACAACCACACAGGAUGCUCAGUGCCCUACCCUGCUGGUCAGUUUGACAGCCCACAUACUCCACCUCCAUCUGGAAACUUCUGUGUUAUCCUCCCUUGGCCCUCUGUUUUAGCCUUUUGCCUAAUCCCGACCCACUGAAAGUAUUAGUGUGAAGAAUACCUAAAUGAGUCUUAGCUUCCCUUCUUAAAAUUCAUGACCUUGGCCGGGUGUGGUGGUGCACGCCUGUAAUCCCAGCACUUCGGAGGCAGAGGCAGGCGGAUUUCUGAGUUCAAGGCCAGCCUGGUCUACAGAGUGAGUUCUA